GGUGAACGCUGGCGGCGUGCCUAAUACAUGCAAGUCGAGCGAACAGACGAGGAGCUUGCUCCUCUGACGUUAGCGGCGGACGGGUGAGUAACACGUGGAUAACCUACCUAUAAGACUGGGAUAACUUCGGGAAACCGGAGCUAAUACCGGAUAAUAUAUUGAACCGCAUGGUUCAAUAGUGAAAGACGGUUUUGCUGUCACUUAUAGAUGGAUCCGCGCCGCAUUAGCUAGUUGGUAAGGUAACGGCUUACCAAGGCGACGAUGCGUAGCCGACCUGAGAGGGGGAUCGGCCACACUGGAACUGAGACACGGUCCAGACUCCUACGGGAGGCAGCAGUAGGGAAUCUUCCGCAAUGGGCGAAAGCCUGACGGAGCAACGCCGCGUGAGUGAUGAAGGUCUUCGGAUCGUAAAACUCUGUUAUUAGGGAAGAACAAAUGUGUAAGUAACUAUGCACGUCUUGACGGUACCUAAUCAGAAAGCCACGGCUAACUACGUG
rnacentral:rRNA from 1 species